CCUACGGGUGGCAGCAGUGGGGAAUAUUGGGCAAUGGGCGCAAGCCUGACCCAGCAACGCCGCGUGAAGGAAGAAGGCUUUCGGGUUGUAAACUUCUUUUCUCAGGGACGAAGCAAGUGACGGUACCUGAGGAAUAAGCCACGGCUAACUACGUGCCAGCAGCCGCGGUAAUACGUAGGGGGCAAGCGUUAUCCGGAUUUACUGGGUGUAAAGGGCGUGUAGGCGGGACUGCAAGUCAGAUGUGAAAACCACGGGCUCAACCUGUGGACUGCAUUGGAAACUGUAGUUCUUGAGUACUGGGGAGGCAGACGGAAUUCCGAGUGUAGCGGUGAAAUGCGUAGAUAUUAGGAGGAACACCAGUGGCGAAGGCGGUCUGCUGGACAGUAACUGACGCUGAGGCGCGAAAGCGUGGGGAGCAAACAGGAUUAGAUACCCCAGUAGUC
rnacentral:rRNA from 1 species